rnacentral:rRNA from 1 species
GAUGAACGCUGGCGGCGUGCCUAAUACAUGCAAGUCGAACGAAACUUCUUUAUCACCGAGUGCUUGCACUCACCGAUGAAGAGUUGAGUGGCGAACGGGUGAGUAACACGUGGGCAACCUGCCCAAAAGAGGGGGAUAACACUUGGAAACAGGUGCUAAUACCGCAUAACCAUAGUUACCGCAUGGUAACUAUGUAAAAGGUGGCUAUGCUACCGCUUUUGGAUGGGCCCGCGGCGCAUUAGCUAGUUGGUGGGGUAAAGGCUUACCAAGGCAAUGAUGCGUAGCCGAACUGAGAGGUUGAUCGGCCACAUUGGGACUGAGACACGGCCCAAACUCCUACGGGAGGCGGCAGUAGGGAAUCUUCCACAAUGGGCGAAAGCCUGAUGGAGCAACGCCGCGUGGGUGAAGAAGGUCUUCGGAUCGUAAAACCCUGUUGUUAGAGAAGAAAGCGCGUGAGAGUAACUGUUCACGUUUCGACGGUAUCUAACCAGAAAGCCACGGCUAACUACGUGCCAGCAGCCGCGGUAAUACGUAGGUGGCAAGCGUUAUCCGGAUUUAUUGGGCGUAAAGGGAACGCAGGCGGUCUUUUAAGUCUGAUGUGAAAGCCUUCGGCUUAACCGGAGUAGUGCAUUGGAAACUGGGAGACUUGAGUGCAGAAGAGGAGAGUGGAACUCCAUGUGUAGCGGUGAAAUGCGUAGAUAUAUGGAAGAACACCAGUGGCGAAAGCGGCUCUCUGGUCUGUAACUG